AUUGAACGCUGGCGGCAUGCCUUACACAUGCAAGUCGAACGGCAGCACGGGGGCAACCCUGGUGGCGAGUGGCGAACGGGUGAGUAAUGCAUCGGAACGUGUCCUCUUGUGGGGGAUAACCAGUCGAAAGAUUGGCUAAUACCGCAUGAGAUCGAAAGAUGAAAGCGGGGGACCGCAAGGCCUCGCGCGAGAGGAGCGGCCGAUGCCGGAUUAGCUAGUUAGUGGGGAAAAAGCCAACCAAGGCGACAAUCCGAAGCUGGUCUGAGAGGACGCCCGGCAACACUGGGACUGAGACACGGCCCAGACUCCUCGGGGAGGCAGCAGUGGGAAAUUUGGGACAAUGGGCGAAAGCCUGAUCCAGCCAUGCCGCGUGUGUGAGGAAGGCCUUCGGGUUGUAAGCACUUUCGGAUGGAACGAAAUCGCGCGGACGAACAUUCCGCGUGGAUGACGGUACCGUAAGAAGAAGCACCGGCUAACUACGUGCCAGCAGCCGCCGUAA
rnacentral:rRNA from 1 species